rnacentral:rRNA from 1 species
CCUACGGGUGGCAGCAGUGAGGAAUAUUGGUCAAUGGGCGCGAGCCUGAACCAGCCAAGUCGCGUGAGGGAUGACGGUCCUACGGAUUGUAAACCUCUUUUGCCGGGGAGCAAGCGUGCGUUCGUGAACGCGCGUCGAGAGUACCCGGAGAAAAAGCAUCGGCUAACUCCGUGCCAGCAGCCGCGGUAAUACGGAGGAUGCGAGCGUUAUCCGGAUUUAUUGGGUUUAAAGGGUGCGCAGGCGGCGAGUUAAGUCAGCGGUAAAAUUUCGGGGCUCAACCCCGACAAGCCGUUGAAACUGGCUUGCUAGAGUGGGCGAGAAGUAUGCGGAAUGCGUGGUGUAGCGGUGAAAUGCAUAGAUAUCACGCAGAACUCCGAUUGCGAAGGCAGCAUACCGGCGCCCAACUGACGCUCAGGCACGAAAGCGUGGGUAUCGAACAGGAUUAGAUACCCGAGUAGUC